UACGGAGGGAGCUAGCGUUAUUCGGAAUUACUGGGCGUAAAGCGCACGUAGGCGGCUUUGUAAGUUAGAGGUGAAAGCCCAGAGCUCAACUCUGGAAUUGCCUUUAAGACUGCAUCGCUCGAAUCCAGGAGAGGUGAGUGGAAUUCCGAGUGUAGAGGUGAAAUUCGUAGAUAUUCGGAAGAACACCAGUGGCGAAGGCGGCUCACUGGACUGGUAUUGACGCUGAGGUGCGAAAGCGUGGGGAGCAAACAGG
rnacentral:rRNA from 1 species